rfam:Triticum aestivum genome assembly, contig: Triticum_aestivum_CS42_TGACv1_scaffold_404608_5BL
GAAGUACUUUCUCUGUUCUAAAUUACUCGUCGCUGAAAUGAAUGUAUCUAGAACUAAAAUACAUCUAGAUACAUCAUUCUUGCGACAAGUAAUUCAGAACGGAGGAAGUAGUAC